rnacentral:rRNA from 1 species
UACGAAGGGUGCAAACGUUGCUCGGAAUUAUUGGGCGUAAAGCGCACGUAGGCGGCUUUGCAAGUCCCAUGUGAAAGCCCACGGCUUAACCGUGGAAGUGCAUGGGAAACUGCAGAGCUUGAGUACUUAAGAGGAUCGCGGAAUUCCCGGUGUAGAGGUGAAAUUCGUAGAUAUCGGGAGGAACACCAGUGGCGAAGGCGGCCUUCUGGACCAAUACUGACGCUCAUGCACGAAAGCGUGGGGAGCGAACAGG